UACGUAGGGGGCAAGCGUUGUUCGGAAUUACUGGGCGUAAAGGGCGCGUAGGCGGCACGGCAAGUCAGGAGUGAAAGCCCUGGGCUCAACCCGGGAACUGCUUUUGAAACUGCCGAGCUAGAGUGCGGAAGGGGCAACUGGAAUUCCCAGUGUAGCGGUGAAAUGCGUAGAUAUUGGGAAGAACACCUGAGGCGAAGGCGGGUUGCUGGGCCGACACUGACGCUGAGGCGCGAAAGCCAGGGGGAGCGAACGGG
rnacentral:rRNA from 1 species